rnacentral:rRNA from 1 species
UCUGGCAGCAAUGGCGAGAAGGUCACACCCGUUCCCAUACCGAACACGGAAGUUAAGCUUCUCAGCGCCGAUGGUAGUUGGGACUUUGUCCCUGUGAGAGUAGGACGUUGCCAGAC